UGAGUGGUGUUUUCAUGGCGUGGGUUGGCAGGCUCCGUGCUCGUGCAUCGAACUGUCGACUGCCCAUCGUCCUCAGUCUUUCCCCGGGCGCAACUAUUGCCCCGCGGGUGGUGUCGGUAUCCUGUGUUGCUUACCUACAGAAAGGAAUUCAAUCGUACUGUUGCCCCUUUCCGCUCGAUGCCCUUUGUGGGUGUGGGGUGGACGCCAGGCACGCUACGUGUUCCUCGCAUGCCUUGCUUUGUUGCGGGGCUGCUGAGGCCCAUGGAUCUGUUGCCCGUGCUCUCGGAUGCGGAAUGUCAUGCAUGGGUGCGGGGGUCUCGGCCUUUGCUUGCCCAAGCUAUGCAUUUGUCCCUUGACACGAACGACUGCCACAGCCGUCUUGAACCCGUCGCAGCCUACAUGGUGGACAGGGCUCAUACGACUGUCGGCGUCGUCGAGGAAUGCUACCUGGUUGAUCCUGCC
rnacentral:misc_RNA from 1 species